UACGAAGGGGGCUAGCGUUGCUCGGAAUCACUGGGCGUAAAGCGCACGUAGGCGGACUCUUAAGUCGGUGGUGAAAUCCUGGAGCUCAACUCCAGAACUGCCUUCGAUACUGAGAGUCUCGAGUCCGGGAGAGGUGAGUGGAACUGCGAGUGUAGAGGUGAAAUUCGUAGAUAUUCGCAAGAACACCGGUGGCGAAGGCGGGAUCCUGGGCCAGUACUGACGCUGAGGC
rnacentral:rRNA from 1 species